CGGCGAUUCAGCUGCGCCCUGCGCCGUGCUGCUGCCGUGGCCACCCUUCGCUGCGUCUUCUGCCGUUCCCUUGUCCUCUACCUCUGUCUGUCGGUCUCCGGGCCUUCCACCCGCCGGCUGUUUCUCUUUUGGUCUCCCUCUCUGUGUCUCCCCAUCUUUCUCCCUCUCUGUGUUUUUAUCUCUGUCUCUCCCCGGCGUUCUGUUAUCUGUCUGUCCCAUUCUCUCUGCCCCUCUGCCCCGAGGCCUUCUGCCUCUGUGUCUCUGUCCCCUGGGCCUCUCCCAUGGCGGGGGUUCAGCCUGCCCCUCACUGGCUCCACGUGGGGUCCCAGCUUAAGCUGAGCAUCAGCUUCCCCAGCCCAGCAGCCUCGGGCCUCCGUUCUCUCCCCGCUGGGGACCCCAGGGUCCUGGCCCCUUCUAAGGAAACCAAGGAAGCUCUGGGGCCGGGCCAUGCCUCCUAAAUGGUUUUGGGGAAAGCUCCAAAACAGAGAAGUGCCUCAAGAUGUCCGGUGCUGGCCCAGGUGUUGGGGGAGGGGGCGGGGAGGGCUCCUGCAGCAGCUCCUGCUGGUGUGCUGUGGCCAGGUCAGAAACGGGAGCCACUCUGAAGUAAUCUCAGCCUUGGGGACAGCCAAGGAGAGAGUCUGGUUUGUGCUUGACUAGUUCCAGACCAGCCACCAUAGAGUCCAGACAACUGCUUUUCUAGAAUUCACUGUGAAUAUGUGUCUAAAGGGUGCUGGACAGGCCACAGAAUGGGUCUUUUUGGCAGAAGAAAUUCAUUCAUUCAUUCAUUUUAGGGCCCAAGAAAUUCAUUCAUUCAUUCACUCAUUCGCUCAGCAAGUAUUUACAGAAUGUUUACUAUGUGCCAGAGAUUGUUCUAAGCAGCAAGGAGAAAGCCAUGAACAAAAUGAAGAUCGUUGUGCUGCAUUCUAGCAGGGAAGGCACAUGGGUGAAAGGUCCCAGUCGCUGGGAGACGCCGAGACCCACUGAGGCCCGGUGGUGGCCCCCAGCUCACUGAGGGGCAAUGGCCGGGAAGAGGUUGGCUGAAAGACUUGUGCUGCAGGAAAACUCCUCCUGUCCCUCAUUUUGCUUCCCUUUUUCUCAUCACUGUCAGGGGUUUUCUGACAAUGAUGACCUUUGAGCCACAAAUAAACCACACAGCCACAUGGGAGGGGUCCUGACCAGGGCCUGGUGGUCUGUGUCCCAGGGAGAAGUACAGCCCUCCUGUCUGCAGAGAAAGUGAGGACUUCUUUACAUCAAGGUAAUUGAGGGAGAAGGAUUAGUGAGUUUUCUGAGCUCAUAAAUCACAAAACAACCCAGUGGUGUUGUGGGUGUCCAAAUCAGGGGGGCAAGAAAGACAGAAAAGGGCAAAAAAAAAACCACAAACAAAAACACUCUGGUGGGGUCAUGUUGGCUUUGGACAAAGCAAGAGAACCUGGGGCGUAGCCGAGGCGGGACUAAAGGAAACACCGUAAGACCCAGAGGUGCUGGGGCUGAGAUUUAGGGCACUGAGGGAGUUUGAGAGCCAGCCAGCGGGCGCCAUCACGAGUGUGUUGGGUAUACGUGGUUUGUGUGUGGCAUAUGGGAGGAUGGAGCAGGCCCGUGUGACCUUCCUCAACCUCUCCCGCCAGCUGGCUCCCCUGCCCUCAGUGCCCUACCUGGCAGAACCUGGUCCUGGCUGAACUACCACUGAGCUUAUGUGACCCCUCAUCCUGCCAAGCCAAGGUGGGGCUGGCCAGGUUUAUGGGCCCAGACACCUUCACACCUGGACCUUUUCCCCUUGGGACUUUGAGAAGCAGACAAGUGCCACAAUUCUGUGUGGGGCUAAAGGAAGAAAUCCCCAGCUAGGUCCGGGAGACGGUGUGUUCCUCAUGGCCCUGCCCCUCACUAACUGGGGGCCAUAAGCGCACCAUUUGCCCUCUCUGGGCCUCACUUUCCAUACUUGGAGAAUAGGAAUGGUACUAAUAAUCGUCCCUCUUCACAGGGUUACAGUAAGGAUAGAUGAGACUGAGAUGUAAAAUGUAUUCUGUCAGCCAGUGAUCACAUCUUGUUUGACCAAUACAUGUAAAAUUUUGACCUAUUACUCACACAUAUAAUCGAAACAAAAGUUUAUACUUAUCUGUUAUAUUCUGUUGAAUGCAUUGAUCUAGUCUAUCCUGUUCUGUUUCUUUCUAUUUUUUAAAAAAUCACAGAUCAUAAUGCACUGGGUCUUGAACUACAGUUUCAGAAACACUGUCAUAAACCAUGGAAGGGGAUAUAAAAGCAUUUGUGGUUUCAUCACCUAGAGAGCUUGCUGGAAGUGGGGCCUGGAGUAGCCUUGGGAGCUGCCACCCUAGGCACACCAAUGGUGACCCCAGUGCCACUCAUCACUGGCCUAUGUGGGCCUGCUCCUCUGUGGUGGACUUGAACCUUACUGCUCCAGCCAUCUCCCCUGCCUGCCUGUCAAGCCUCGCUGUUGACUGUAGUCAUCUUCAUGCCAAAGGCCAGACAUAGCCUGCGAGACUUGGAUGGGACCUCGAGGGUCAUCUCAUCUCUCACUUUAUAUAGGAGAAAACUGAGGCCCAGCCAAGGAAAGUGACUUAUUCAAGGCUGCCCAGUGAAUGGGUGGCAGAACCAGAACUAGAGUUCAGAUGUCCCUCUGUCAGCCCAAGGCUUGUUUUCAUUACGGCCUUGUUAUCUGCCUGAUUGCAAACCCAAUCCCCCCUUCUCUCUAUGUCUUGGGUUCGGGAACCACUCCUGGCCUGAGCAGAGCAGGAAUAAAGCAGCAGGGCCAGUCUAAAGUCUGCACAUACUAACCAUGUGGCCAAAGGCAGGCCUGUUAAUACUUCUAAGCCUCAGUCUCCUUCUCUAUAGAGUGGGAAUGAUGUUUUCUGCUCUUCCUAACACACAGGGUUGCUUUGUAAAUUAAAUGAGAUAAUGUGCAUCAAAUAGGCUUUGAAAAACCUUUUAAAUAUGCUUAAAAUGGAAGGGUUCUUGAGGGUUGGGGUAUGGUUGAAUAGGUGAAGCACAGGGGUUUUCUUAGGUGGGUGAAAUUAUUCUGUAUGAUAUUGCAGGUAGAUACCUGACACUAUGUACUUGUCAAGACCUGUAGAAAUGUAUAGCACAAAGAGUACAUUUUUACACAAAAUAAAAGAAUCAUUUAGGAGAUCAGAGGAUACGAAGAUGGAAUGCAAAAUGUGACAAAACUAUUUAACUGGAUUAAAAACAUGUAAAACAACUUCACUGAAGUGGGGGAGGGGUGGGAGUUUUUGAUCUAAGCAACUUUGGAAAUGAGUGGAGUCUAUAAGACUAAAGACUAAAGAAACUGUGCCUAAGCACUAUACUCUAGUUGAUAAAGUAGCUUCUCAUGGAGUGUGGUUAACAAUUCCAGUACCACUAUACAUGUGUAUUGGAACUGAAUGAGUAAGUCAAUGGAUAGUGGAUGGUAACAGACAGGUUUCUCACUGUGGGAGUGGAAGGUUACAGACAGGCAAGGGGAGAAGGCUAGAAUGAUCCUUGUGAUAAUUUAUUAGAGUUGUAAUAUUAGUAUGAAAUCAAGUUUAGAUUGCACUCCAUCCAGGGCAACAAGAGCGGAACUCCGUCUCAAAAAAAAAAAGGUACCUCUCCCUCUCCCUCCCCCUCCCCCUCCCCCUCUCCCUCUCCCUACGGUCUCCCUCUCCCUCUUUCCACGGUCUCCCUCUGAUGCCGAGCCAAAGCUGGACUGUACUGCUGCCAUCUCGGCUCACUGCAACCUCCCUGCCUGAUUCUCCUGCCUCAGCCUGCUGAGUGCCUGCGAUUGCAGGCGCGCGCCGCCACGCCUGACUGGUUUUCGUAUUUUUUUGGUGGAGACGGGGUUUCGCUGUGUUGGCUAGGCUGGUCUCCAGCUCCUAACCGCGAGUGAUCCGCCAGCCUCGGCCUCCGGAGGUGCCGGGAUUGCAGACGGUGUCUGGUUCACUCAGUGCUCAAUGGUGCCCAGGCUGGAGUGCAGUGGCGUGAUCUCGGCUCGCUACAACCUCCACCUCCCAGCCGCCUGCCUUGGCCUCCCAAAGUGCCCAGAGUGCAGCCUCUGCCCACCCCGUCUAGGAAGUGAGGAGCGUCUCUGCCUGGCCGCCCAUCGUCUGGGAUGUGAGGAGCCCCUCUGCCUGGCUGCCCAGUCUGGAAAGUGAGGAGCGUCUCUGCCCCGCCGCCAUCCCACCUAGGAAGUGAGGAGUGCCUCUUCCUGGCCGCCAUCCCAUCUAGGAAGUGAGGAGCGUCUCUGCCCGGCCGCCCAUCGUCUGAGAUGUGGGGAGCGCCUUUGCCCCGCCGCCCCGUCUGGGAUGUGAGGAGCGCCUCUGCCCGGCCGCGACCCCGUCUGGGAGGUGAGGAGCGUCUCUGCCCAGCUGCCUCGUCUGAGAAGGGAGGAGACCCUCCGCCCGGCAGCCGCCCCAUCUGAGAAGUGAGGAGCCCCUCCGCCCGGCAGCCGCCCCGUCCGGGAGGGAGGUGGGGGUCAGCCCCCGCCAGGCCAGCCGCCCCGUCUGGGAGGGAGGUGGGGGGGUCAGCCCCCCGCCCGGCCAGCCACCCCGUCCGGGAGGUGAGGGGCGCCUCUGCCCGGCCGCCCCUACUGGGAAGUGAGGAGCCCCUCUGCCCGGCCACCACCCCGUCUGGGAGGUGUGCCCAACAGCCCAUUGAGAACGGGCCAUGAUGACAAUGGUGGUUUUGUGGAAUAGAAAGCGGGGAAAGGUGGGGAAAAGAUUGAGAAAUCGGAUGGUUGCCGUGUCUGUGUGGAAAGGAGUAGACAUGGGAGACUUUUCAUUUUGUUCUGUACUAAGAAAAAUUCUUCUGCCUUGGGAUCCUGUUGAUCUGUGACCUUACCCCCAACCCUGUGCUCUCUGAAACAUGUGCUGUGUCCACUCAGAGUUAAAUGGAUUAAGGGCGGUGCAAGAUGUGCUUUGUUAAACAGAUGCUUGAAGGCAGCAUGCUCGUUAAGAGUCAUCACCACUCCCUAAUCUCAAGUACCCAGGGACACAAACACUGUGGAAGGCCGCUGGGUCCUCUGCCUAGGAAAACCAGAGACCUUUGUUCACUUGUUUAUCUGCUGACAUUCCCUCCACUAUUGUCCUAUGACCCUGCCAAGUCCCCCUCUGUGAGAAACACCCAAGAAUGAUCAAUAAAAAAAAAAAAAAGUAAAAAAAAAAAAAAAAAAGAAAUCAAGUUUAAUAUAGAUACAGAUAGUGACAUAUAGGAAUAUUUAUAUGUUUGUGUAUAUCUGUUGUGAUAUACAUACAGGUUAGUAGAUACACAUGUAUUUCUAUGCUCUGUCAGCUAAGAGGGCCUAGAAGUAAUGACAGCCCAGUAGCUGUGAGCACACUUAGUGCUCAGAUUUUGGCUUCUAAUAUCAUUCUCCAAUUUUAAAAACCCCCACAAAAACCAGGGCUUCUUGUAAAAAUGGCUGAUUCUAGGAUUGGAACAGGAAAUGUACAAGAUGAACCUGGAACAUCUUGUAGUGCCAGAAAGUAAGGAAGAUCUGAGGAAGAAAUGAUGGGAGUAUGUCAAAGGGACACAGGAGACAACUGGUAGAGCUCCAGUGGCUAAAGCUGGAACAAAGUGAGCAAUAAAAUAAAUACAGUAGUAUUGGAUAAUUACCCAAAGUAGAAGAGAAAUAUCCCGGCUCACGCCUGUAAUCCCAGCACUUUGGGAGGCCAAGGCAGGCAGAUCAUGAGGUCAGGAGUUCAAGACCAUCCUGGCUAACAUGGUGAAACCCCAUCUCUACUAAAAAUACAAACAACUAGCCAGGUGUGGUGGCAGGCACCUGUAGUCCCAGCUACUCAGGAGGCUGAGGCAGGAUAAUCACUUGAACCCAGGAGGCAGAGGUUGCAGUGAGCCGAGAUCAUGCCACCGCACUCCAGCCUGGGCAACAGAGCAAGACUCCAUCUAAAAAAAAAGAGAAAUAUCCAUGAGUUUGAACUUAUAUAAAUAAAUGGCUACAUAGAGAAAAGGGGGAGAAGAUACAAAAAUACAGAAUUGCAGAUGAUAUUCACAGAUACUCAAGGAUGAGCAUAGCUCCCUGCUCCUUAAAUGUGGGCUCCACAUAGCAACUUACCUCCAAACAGUAUACACGGAAAGGGGAAGAAAGAAUAACUUCAUAGUGGAGAAACCUGACAAACACUACUUCUGUUAACUGUGAACGCAGUUGACAUCGACAGUGACAGGUCAUGGUGGUGGCAUAUACUCUUGAUAGGAUGUAAUGAAAGUGGCACUUCACCUUUGAGGUCUUGCUCCCUCAAACCCAUAACCUAAAACAUCAGACAAAUCCCAGCUGAGGAACAUUCUACAAAAUACCUGACCAAUACUCCUUGAAAUCAUCAAGAUCAUCAAAAACAAGAAAAGUCUGAGAAACUGUCACAGCCAAGGGAGACCUAAGAAGACAUGAUGGCCAAAUGUAAUGCUGCAUCCUAGAACAGAAAAAGGAUAUUAGGUUAAAAAAAAAAACAACUAAGGAAAUCUGAAUAAAGUAUGAACAUAGUUUAAUAAUAAUGUUAAUCUUGUAGGGCUGAUAUCAAUAGCAGUUUAUUAAUUGUGGCAAAUGUACCGUACUAAAUGUAAGAUGAUGAUAAUAGGGGAAAUUGGGUGUGGAGAAUAUGGGAACUCUCUGUAUUAUCUUUGCCAUUUUUCUUUAAAACUUUUCUAAAGUAAAAAUUUUAUAUCGAAAAUUGAAAGCCUUACAUUGGUAAUUAUUCACAGCUUAUGGCUAAGACAGGUGGAAUUGGGAGAAUGCCCUGGGAAGGUUUCAAGGAAGUACAAGGGAGGAUUUGGGGAACUGCUCAGGGGUGAGAAAUACAGCUUGGGAGACAGGGCGGAGGGGAAGCUCGGUGCACAUCCCAGACUGAGGAGGUGUCAGAGGGAAAGGGUCCUUGGGACAGGGUGUCUUGGGACCCUUUCCUGCCUGGGAGGGCUUCUGGAGGAGGAGGUGAGUGGAUGGGGAGUGACAGCCUGGCUCUUUGCUCUCCUACCUUAUCCUGACCCACCUUGCCACAUCUCUGGGGCCAGCCCUGCUCCUUAUCUGGAGGCAACCCAUCAG
rnacentral:lncRNA from 1 species